GAUGAACGCUAGCGGCAGGCUUAACACAUGCAAGUCGAGGGGCAGCGCGAGAGUAGCAAUACUUUUGGCGGCGACCGGCAGAAGGGUGCGUAACACGUGAGCAACCUGCCCGUGACAGGGGGAUAACCGAUGGAAACGUCGCCUAACACCCCGUAACAACUUGGAGGGCAUCCUUUGAGUUUGAAAAUUCCGAUGGUCACGGAUGGGCUCGCGGGACAUUAGCUAGUUGGCGGGGUAACGGCCCACCAAGGCGACGAUGUCUAGGGGUUCUGAGAGGAAGGUCCCCCACACUGGAACUGAGACACGGUCCAGACUCCUACGGGAGGCAGCAGUGAGGAAUAUUGGACAAUGGAGGCAACUCUGAUCCAGCCAUGCCGCGUGAAGGAUGAAGGCCCUAUGGGUCGUAAACUUCUUUUGUCGUAGAGCAAUAAGGUGUACGUGUACAUCGAUGAGAGUAUACGACGAAUAAGCAUCGGCUAACUCCGUGCCAGCAGCCGCGGUAAUACGGAGGAUGCAAGCGUUAUCCGGAUUUAUUGGGUUUAAAGGGUGCGUAGGCGGACGUAUAAGUCAGCGGUGAAAGGUACCGGCUCAACCGGUGAGCUGCCGUUGAAACUGUGCGACUGGAAUGCGGAUGCCGUGGGAGGAAUGUGUGGUGUAGCGGUGAAAUGCUUAGAUAUCACACAGAACACCGAUUGCGAAGGCAUCUCACGAAUCCGACACUGACGCUGAGGCACGAAAGCGUGGGGAUCAAACAGGAUUAGAUACCCUGGUAGUCCACGCAGUAAACGAUGAUGACUAACUGUCGGCGAUAAACAGUCGGUGGCCAAGCGAAAGCGAUAA
rnacentral:rRNA from 1 species